rnacentral:rRNA from 1 species
CAGCAGCCGCGGGAAUACGUAGGGUGCAAGCGUUAAUCGGAAUUACUGGGCGUAAAGCGUGCGCAGGCGGUUAUAUAAGACAGAUGUGAAAUCCCCGGGCUCAACCUGGGAACUGCAUUUGUGACUGUAUAGCUAGAGUACGGCAGAGGGGGAUGGAAUUCCGCGUGUAGCAGUGAAAUGCGUAGAUAUGCGGAGGAACACCGAUGGCGAAGGCAAUCCCCUGGGCCUGUACUGACGCUCAUGCACCAAAGCGUGGGGAGCAAACAGGAUUAGAGACCCGCGUAGUCCCUGUCUCUUAUAC